rnacentral:sRNA from 1 species
UGAGAAAUUAAGGACUCCGAGUAUGUAC